CUUGAGUACGCACAAAGUGGGCGGAAUUCGUGGUGUAGCGGUGAAAUGCUUAGAUAUCACGAAGAACUCCGAUUGCGAAGGCAGCUCACUGGAGCGCAACUGACGCUGAAGCUCGAAAGUGCGGGUAUCGAACAGGAUUAGAUACCCUGGUAGUCCGCACGGUAAACGAUGGAUGCCCGCUGUUGGUCUGAAUAGGUCAGCGGCCAAGCGAAAGCAUUAAGCAUCCCACCUGGGGAGUACGCCGGCAACGGUGAAACUCAAAGGAAUUGACGGGGGCCCGCACAAGCGGAGGAACAUGUGGUUUAAUUCGAUGAUACGCGAGGAACCUUACCCGGGCUUGAAUUGCAGAGGAAGGAUUUGGAGACAAUGACGCCCUUCGGGGCCUCUGUGAAGGUGCUGCAUGGUUGUCGUCAGCUCGUGCCGUGAGGUGUCGGCUUAAGUGCCAUAACGAGCGCAACCCCUCUCCUUAGUUGCCAUCAGGUUAAGCUGGGCACUCUGGGGACACUGCCACCGUAAGGUGUGAGGAAGGUGGGGAUGACGUCAAAUCAGCACGGCCCUUACGUCCGGGGCUACACACGUGUUACAAUGGCAGGUACAGAGAGA
rnacentral:ncRNA from 1 species